rnacentral:rRNA from 1 species
ACUCAAAUGAAUUGACGGGGGCCCGCACAAGCGGCGGAGCAUGUUGCUUAAUUCGACGCAACGCGAAGAACCUUACCAAGGUUUGACAUGGCCGGAAAACUCGUGGAGACACGGGGUCCUUCGGGGCCGGUCACAGGUGGUGCAUGGCUGUCGUCAGCUCGUGUCGUGAGAUGUUGGGUUAAGUCCCGCAACGAGCGCAACCCUUGUCCUGUGUUGCCAGCAUUUGGUUGGGGACUCAUGGGAGACUGCCGGGGUCAACUCGGAGGAAGGUGGGGAUGACGUCAAGUCAUCAUGCCCCUUAUGCCUUGGGCUGCAAACAUGCUACAAUGGCCGGUACAGAGGGCUGCGACACCGUGAGGUGAAGCGAAUCCCGGAAAGCCGGUCUCAGUUCGGAUCGGGGUCUGCAACCCGACCCCGUGAAGUCGGAGUCGCUAGUAAUCGCGGAUCAGCAUCGCCGCGGUGAAUACGUUCCCGGGCCUUGCACACACCGCCCGU